GAUACAGUUCUUAUAUUGUUGAUCCUAAAACAUUAUAUUUUUAUCCGUUAGCAGAUGACGGUGUAACAAUUGUUAGAAGAAGUAACGUAAAUAAUACCGAGCAAUUAGUGCAAGAGCCAUUUUAUCAUGAAGAUAGAAGUAAUAUUAUACAAAUACCACAAUCAACUGAUUCAACUGAGCGACAAAAAAUCUCUGAACCACUUAAAAAGGUCUCUAGGAA